rnacentral:lncRNA from 1 species
CCAUGUUUUGAGAAAUAUGCUCAAGGGUCUGCAGGUGACCAGUGGGUUUAGCACCACGGGAAACCUUCCUCUAACAGCCCGUGUUGACAGAUACCUUUCCAUUUCUUCCAUUCUAGGACUCGCAGCUGUGGAAGGCCAGGUGUUUAAAAUAUGUUAGAUGUGCCUCUCCUUUCUCUACUAGUUUGUUGUUUUGUUUUUUAGCCUUGCCUGGGGCAUGUGGAAGUUCCUGGACCAGGGAUCGAACCCACACCGAAGCAGUGACCCAAGCCGUUGGCUUGGCAACACUGGAUCCUUAACUCAUUAUGCCACAAAAGAGCUCCUAUGCUAGUUUUAAUCUUCUUUUUAUUAGAAAAUGAAUCAAAUAAUCAUAUCUAUUCCUUCACCCCUGAACAUGGCGUUCCCCAAAUCUGGAGCUGUAGGAAACAUUUACUUAGAUUUAACUGUGGCUCCUGUGGCUGGUGGGGCGACCUCCUGAGAGGAGGUGAAGGUCCCUGCUCCGUGGAUGCUGUAGGAGCUGCACCUGGACUGGACGAGGGGCUGGAGGAAGUGGCUCCGCUCUGCAUUUCUCUUUGGCUGUUUUCUCCGUCAUUUGACUGAAACAACUUUUGAUGACUAAUUGAGUGAAUGGUCAAAGCUUAUUUUUUCAAUCAAAAUUCAAUUCCAGCAAAAAAUAGAGGCGUGAGAGGGAGUAAACAUUCAUGAAGCUUAUUUAAGCACCAGGCUUCCUUUCUGCAGAAAAUCAAAUUGCCUGGCAGAGGAAAACAGCUUCUUCCCAUCAAGAUCAUCAGAUUGAGUGUUUUUUACGCUAACUAAUCUGCUUUCCGGCUCAGUUUCCGGCUGGAAGGCAGUUUGGCAAAGCGGAAGGACCGGACGGAUUUGGGAUUAGAAUCUGGGCUGCUGCUUACCAGCUCUGUGACUUCAGAGUUCUCCAGACAUGCUUGGGAGGAAACUUCAGAGGGAAUUCCUUGAGGGUUUCCUGGGAACUGUGGGGCACCAUACCCCUUCCCUUGCGGCAGCAACAGCCCUCAGAUCCUGCCUCAGUGUUCGAGACAGCACUUCUCUACCUUCGUCAGUCCCUGGUGGCUUGUUAAAAAGACUUCAAAGGAGAAACUUCAGACUAGAAACCUCACUUGCCAUUCACAUUUCUUUAAACAUUGAAGAUACAACUGUAAAGAACAUUUCUGUGAAUGCUAAUUAGCCUCCAGAGAGGGAGAAAGAAGAGGAUGGAAGAGAGAGGCAGACACAGAAAAAUGCUGCAGGGAUGGCAGGGGAGCACGGAGUAACUCCUUGGAUUCUGUAAAAUAACCUUUAACGUAUGCCUCAUGAAGGUGAAAAGGACUAACUAUCGACAACAAAAGGAUCUGAUCCCAGAGAUGAGUAAGACUAGAGACAGCGCUGGAGUGAAAUUUCCUUUUUCGAAGAGGCCAACUAAGUGGGUCAGGCUGUCCCCUUCACAAAGACAGUGGAGACCACCCAGAAUGGGGUGCCAUAGAUGCUGGGAGUGUGGGGUGUGAUCUGCGGGUGGCUGUUCAGGCUCUCACCCCCCCCCCUUUUUUUUUGUCUUUUUGCCUUUUCUAGGGCUGCUCCCACGGCAUAUGGAGGUUCCCAGGCUAGGGGUCUAAUUGGAGCUGUAGCUGCAGGCCUACGCCAGAGCCACAGCAACGCCAGAUCCAAGCCGCAUCUGCUUACCUACACCACAGCUCAGGGCAACGCCAGAUCCUUAACCCACUGAGCAAGGCCAGGGAUCGAACCCACAACCUCAUGGUUCCUAGUCGGAUUCAUUAACCACCAAGCCACAACGGGAACUCCUCAUCCCCAAUCUUUCAUUCCUACACCCAUGAACCCCCAGUCACUUACAUCUGAACUCCUGCUUUAAUAGGAAUCACACAAAGAAGAAUCUUUCUUCAGCAGCAGAUACAUUUAUAAACUCUACCUUAUUGAAUUCUAACAAGAGCCAGAUGAAGGAGAUGCUUAGGAAGUACUAUCUCCACUUUAUAAGUGAGGAAACUGAGUAUCAAAAGGUUACACCUGGGUCUGACUCCUAACAGUGGAUCAGGCUGCUUCUAGGAUUUGGGUCUUGAAAGUUUGGUCUGUUGCUAUUGUUUCAAUCUUUAUUUUCCUCUCUAAUUACCAAGUAAAUACAUUCUUACUAAAAGCAUUUUAAAAAUAUUGAAACUUAAAAAAAUAUAAAAAUCAUUAGUAGCCAAUAGUGAUUCUCUUUUCUUUAUGGCUCUGAUAAAUACUGUCACUAGUAAGAAGCUCUGUUAGAAAUGCUUUCAGCUGUUUGGAGUUCCCGUUGUGGCUCAGUGGUUAACAAGCGUGACCAGUCUCCAGGAGGACGCAGGUUCUGUCCCUGUUCUCGAUCUAGCGUUGCUGAGCUGUGGUGUAGGUCGAAGACAAGGCUUGGAUCCCCUGUUGCUGUGGCUGUGGUGUAGAUCGGUGUUGCCAGAGGCCAGCUCCGGCGGCCAGGGAGUGUAUACUUUCCCGAAGAAGAUGGGCAGAAGUCGGCUUUUGCAUCGGAGACAGUCUCUUUGAUUCAUUAAUCAGGGUGCUGGACUGCUCAAACUUUAUUGGCAACAGUAGUUGAUUAUAUAGACAGUUUUUCACUACAGAUUACAUCACAGUGUUAAAAGUACAUUAGUUAACUAUUACAUGGUAUAGCAGCUAUAUAUCAUGUUUUAAGAUCUCUAUCUUAACUAAACUUAGUGAGUACUUUGAAGAGGCCAUAGACACAAGAAUUUGGCAUUCACAAACCUUAUUUGUAGACUGGUGCUUAUCUUCAAAGCGUUAUGGCAGGGAGAUAGUGUAAGUAAAUAUAAACCCACUUAACUAGCUAUCACUUAAAAGCUUUUGAAAUCAAGGACAAAACUCACAGCUAGGUUUUUUGGAUAAUAAUGUCUAACUUUUAUGAACCUCAUUAAGAGCCUAACUCUAAAGUUUACUAUAUAACUAGUUAAUAGAAAAACACUAUGUUUUAACUAAGUUGGAUUUAAAUAGGGGAAAGUCCUUCAGGAUGAAAUUCUUAUUAUUGUUGUAACUUUGUUAAAUCACAAAUCACCACAGGAAAAUAAGAAUGGAAAAUAAGAACAAUAAGUAAAUAAUCAGGAAAGACUGGGGAAAACUGAAUAACAAAUAAAACAACAGGAAAGACUAGGUCACCUGAGAAACAAUCCAUGUUCUCCAGCACAAACAUGGAAAUUGUUUUCCCAGGAAAGCCCCAAUUCUUCCCCAUCAACAUCAAAAUGAGAGCUGUGUAACCUGAGGCCUGCCCUCAGCUUGUACUGUGCAGGCAGGCUUUUUUCCUGACCAAGAGCCCACCUUCAGCUUGUACCAUUCAGGUGAGGUCCCUGCCUUCAGGUUUUUUUUUUUUUUUGCCAUCAGGCAAGGUCCUUGUUUUGAGUCCCUGCAUUUUUUCGACUCCCCGCAGACCGGCAGCUACAGCUCUGAUUUGACUCCUAGUGUUUGAACAGACAACUCGAAGUCUAGCACAAAGAUAGUGUUUAAAGAGAUGUUUAAAAAAUAGGUUUUUUGGUUUGUUUUAUUUUGUUUGUACAUUAGAAAGCCUGAGCAAUUGCCAUGUUGACUUAGUAGCUCAUCAGUGGAUUGACAUCUUGAAAAUAUUCUUGGUCUUUGCCUUAUGGUUAAAAAAUGGCUAUGUUCAAGGUCACAGCCAUGUUCAAGGUAGUAAGAAAAGGCAAGGGCCUAGCAUCACCUGUUCCUUUAUGAGAAGAGCAGAAGCUUUCCCAGAGGUUCCUGGCAGAUUUCUUCCGUUUACAAAUUAUGGGCCAUAAGCAAGUCACACAGCCUCUCUUACCCUUAAGGGAGGCUGGGAAAAACAUUUUGCCCUUCCAGACUCUCCAACUGAAGGGGAUUGGGAGUGGGAGUUGGGUUCGCCAAUCAGUGGCAUCUGUCACUGUGCUCUGACUGGCCAGGCCUGGUUCACAUGUCCCCCUGGAGUUAGGAUUGACUCUGCCUUCUUCACCUGGCUGAAACUGGUAGAAGAAAACUGGAUGCUGUAAACAUAAAAGGAAGAUGGAUGCAAGGGAGGCAAGAAUGGCAAGAAUAUGCAGAUGUCCAUCAUAUUUUGUAUCUGUUAACAUUUACGGUAUAGCAAAUCACCCCUGAGCUUAAUGGCUGAAGCCUGUGAUUCAUUGCAAUUCCGUGGAUCACUUGAGCAGUUCUUCUGUUCUGGGCCUGCUGAGGUGACUGUUUAGGUCUCUUUCAACUCUGGGUACCUACGAGUUCUUAGUGACGUUAGUUUUCUUAUGUUUUUCCUCACCCUUUCCACCUUGCCCUGCUCCUGGUGUCUGCUAGCAUACUCUAAAGGCUUUGUCGCCUUUUGAGGUAUAUCAUAAUCAGAUGUAAGCAGUCAUUUUUAAGGUUCACCGUUAAGUGCUCCAUACACACAGUUUUGUAAAAUCCUCACCACAACCCUAUAAGGUAUUGUGUCCAUUUGCAGAUGAAGAAACUGAGGCUCUAAAAAAGGUCAGGUGUCUUGUUCAACCUCCCUUAGCCAGUAAUUCUGAGCUAAGGGUCCCCUUAUUCUGAGGUCAGUGCUCUUUUCCCCACAGCACAGCAGUUUACUGGCUUCCUCAGAACGGACCGGGCCCGUCCAACAAUUUAAGCUACUGUUGGAAAUUGUUAUUGAUUCUGGUCAAGAGGAAAUCCUCUUUGAGGAUUCCUUUUUGAGAUUUCUAGAAUUAAGAGAAUUAGAGAGAGAGAGCCCUUAGACUUCAAGGCUAGAAAUACUGCUGCUAUUUACAACGACUGAUUUUUGUGAGUCAGGAUUUUUGUUCUGGGUAACCAAAAUAAAGUUGAGAAGUAAACAAACUACAUGAGAUGGUCACUAUCAUCCAAUAUCUCAAUUUCGAAUUUUUCUGAUCAUCAAAGCAACCUCUUGAUUAUUACUGACUUUAAGAAUAUUAUAAAAUUUAAAUUUUUUAAAAAUGUUACACAAUUUCUAAAGGUUACUUUUCAUUUACGGUUAUUACAAAAUACUGGCUAUACUCCCAGUGUUGUGUUGUCCAAUACAUCCUUGAGUCUACCUUCCAUCCAAUAGUUGGCACUUCUCCCACUUCCCCAUCUCCCCGAUGAUAACUACUAGUAUGUUUUCUCCGUGAGUCUGCUUCUUUUAUAUUAUAUUCACUAGUUUGUUGUAUUUUUUAGAUUGCACAUGUAGGCAAUAUGGUGCAAUAUUUAUCUUUCUCUGUUUGACUUAUUUUACGUAGCGUAAUGCCCUCCAAGUCCAUCCAUGUUGCUACAAAUGGCAAAAUUUUGGUCUCUUUAUGACUGAGUGAAGUAUAUAAAGUAUAUACACCACAUCUUCUCUGUCUGUUCAUCUGUUGAUGAACCCUUGGGUUGUUUCCAUGUCUUGGCAAUUGUAAAUAAUGUUGCUGUGAACA